AGGCAGCGAACUUCAUAAUUUUUGUGUUUCCAAUGAGAGGAAUUAUAUAUUGUAGGGAGAUGUUUCUGGGAAACUUGGGAACUGGGGUUCAUUGAUUGUUACCUGCAAAGCAAGAUUUAGACUAGCAGAGUGUUGAAGAGUUUGCAAGCAUUGCAGACAGGCUGGUGUACCAGGGAGCUCUCACGUAACUUGGCAGCAUCAAAGCUCUCACUCUUGCUAAAGCAGAGCAGUAACACAGUGACUCACAGUGCUCAGUGUCCUGAACACAAUGUCACAAUAAAUAAAAGUGCAAGUAUAAGCACAGGUAUGCCUGUAUUUCCUGCAAUUGUCUGGUCAAUAUAUGGACAACUUGGCACAAAAAGUGGGAAUGUGCUAAAAAAGUUUGCGGAUGACAAAAAGCUGGGAGGUAUUGCUAAUACAGAGAAGGACCAGGAUAUCAUACAGGAAGAUCUGGAUGACCUUGUAAACUGGAGUAAUAGUAAUAGGAUGAAAUUUAAUAGUGAAAAGUGCAAGGUCAUGCAUUUAAGGAUUAAUAAGAAUUUUGGUUAUAAAUUGGAGACACAUCAGUUGGAAAUAACAGAGGAGGAGAAGGACCUCGGAGUAUUGGUUGAUCACAGGAUGACUAUGAGCCGCCAAUGUGAUAUGGCCAUUAAAAAAGCUAAUGCAGUCUUGGGAUGCAUCAGGCGAGGUAUUUCCAGUAAAGAUAAGGAGGUGUUAGUACCAUUAUACAAGGCACUGGUGAGACCUCAUCUGGAAUAUUGUGUGCAGUUCUGGUCUCCCACGUUUAAGAAGGAUGAAUUCAAACUGGAACAGGUACAGAGAAGGGCUACUAGGAUGAUCCGAGGAAUGGAAAACCUGUCUUAUGAAAGGAGACUCAAAGAGCUUGGAUUGUUUAGCCUAAUCAAAAGAAGGCUAUGGGGAGAUAUGAUUGCUCUUUAUAAAUAUAUCAGAGGGAUAAAUAUCAGGGAAGGAGAGGAAUUAUUUAAACGUAGUACCAAUGUGGACACAAGAACAAAUGGAUAUAAACUGGACAUUAGGAAGUUUAGACUUGAAA
rnacentral:lncRNA from 1 species